AAUCUAGGUCCCGAACCGUGCUAGGUGAGCGCUCUACUGCUGAGCCACAGUCCCAGCCUCCUAAUUCUCUUUUCUAUGAGAUAUCCUCACCUCCAAUGGCCCUCAUCCUUGUGUGCCUGGAUCUGACUGGCCUCAUUCCCUCAUGAGUCAUUCUGCCUACAAAUCCUCAGCACGGGAGACUCAACUCAGGAUCUUGAGGCUU